UACGGAGGAGGCAAGCGUUAUCCGGAAUUAUUGGGCGUAAAGCGUCCGCAGGUGGCACCUCAAGUCUGCUGUCAAAGACCGGGGCUUAACCCCAGAAAGGCAGUGGAAACUGAAGUGCUAGAGUGCAGUAGGGGUAGAGGGAAUUCCCGGUGUAGCGGUGAAAUGCGUAGAGAUCGGGAAGAACAUCGGUGGCGAAAGCGCUCUGCUGGACCGCAACUGACACUCAGGGACGAAAGCUAGGGGAGCGAAUGGG
rnacentral:rRNA from 1 species